rnacentral:rRNA from 1 species
CCGGAUGUUAGCGGCGGACGGGUGAGUAACACGUGGGUAACCUGCCUGUAAGACUGGGAUAACUCCGGGAAACCGGAGCUAAUACCGGAUAGUUCCUUGAACCGCAUGGUUCAAGGAUGAAAGACGGUUUCGGCUGUCACUUACAGAUGGACCCGCGGCGCAUUAGCUAGUUGGUGAGGUAACGGCUCACCAAGGCGACGAUGCGUAGCCGACCUGAGAGGGUGAUCGGCCACACUGGGACUGAGACACGGCCCAGACUCCUACGGGAGGCAGCAGUAGGGAAUCUUCCGCAAUGGACGAAAGUCUGACGGAGCAACGCCGCGUGAGUGAUGAAGGUUUUCGGAUCGUAAAGCUCUGUUGUUAGGGAAGAACAAGUGCAAGAGUAACUGCUUGCACCUUGACGGUACCUAACCAGAAAGCCACGGCUAACUACGUGCCAGCAG